UAUUGCACUUGUCUCGGCCUGC
rnacentral:miRNA from 1 species